CAGGAUGAACGCUGGCGGCGUGCCUAAUACAUGCAAGUCGAACGAACUUCCGUUAAUUGAUUAUGACGUACUUGUACUGAUUGAGAUUUUAACACGAAGUGAGUGGCGAACGGGUGAGUAACACGUGGGUAACCUGCCCAGAAGUAGGGGAUAACACCUGGAAACAGAUGCUAAUACCGUAUAACAGAGAAAACCGCAUGGUUUUCUUUUAAAAGAUGGCUCUGCUAUCACUUCUGGAUGGACCCGCGGCGUAUUAGCUAGUUGGUGAGGUAAAGGCUCACCAAGGCAGUGAUACGUAGCCGACCUGAGAGGGUAAUCGGCCACAUUGGGACUGAGACACGGCCCAGACUCCUACGGGAGGCAGCAGUAGGGAAUCUUCCACAAUGGACGCAAGUCUGAUGGAGCAACGCCGCGUGAGUGAAGAAGGGUUUCGGCUCGUAAAGCUCUGUUGUUAAAGAAGAACGUGGGUAAGAGUAACUGUUUACCCAGUGACGGUAUUUAACCAGAAAGCCACGGCUAACUACGUGCCAGCAGCCGCGGUAAUACGUAGGUGGCAAGCGUUAUCCGGAUUUAUUGGGCGUAAAGCGAGCGCAGGCGGUCUUUUAAGUCUAAUGUGAAAGCUUCGGCUCAACCGAAGAAGUGCA
rnacentral:rRNA from 1 species